CCCGCACAAGCGGUGGAGCAUGUGGUUAAUCGAAGCAACGCGAAGAACCUUACAGGUCUUGGCAUCCCUGACAACCAGAGAUUGGGCGUUCCCCGUUCGGGGGGACAGGGUGACAGGUGGUGCAUGGUUGUCGUCAGCUCGUGUCGUGAGAUGUUGGGUUAAGUCCCGCAACGAGCGCAAACCCUCGCCUCUAGUUGCCAGCAUUCGGUUGGGCACUCUAGAGGGACUGCCGGCGACAAGUCGGAGGAAGGUGGGAUGACGUCAAAUCAUCAUGCCCCUUAUGACCUGGGCUACACACGUGCUACAAUGGGCGGUACAAAGGGCUGCGAACCCGCGAGGGGGAGCGAAUCCCAAGAAGCCGCUCUCAGUUCGGAUUGCAGGCUGCAACUCGCCUGCAUGAAGCCGGAAUCGCUAGUAAUCGCGGAUCAGCAUGCCGCGGUGAAUACGUUCCCGGGCCUU
rnacentral:rRNA from 1 species